AUUGAACGCUGGCGGCAGGCCUAACACAUGCAAGUCGAACGAGUGGCGGACGGGUGAGUAAUGUCUGGGAAACUGCCCGAUGGAGGGGGAUAACUACUGGAAACGGUAGCUAAUACCGCAUACCAUCGGAUGUGCCCAGAUGGGAUUAGCUAGUAGGUUGGGUAACGGCUCACCUAGGCGACGAUCCCUAGCUGGUCUGAGAGGAUGACCAGUCACACUGGAAAUGGGAAACGGACCAGACGCCUACGGGAGGAACAAGUGGGGAAUAUUGCACAAUGGGCGCAAGCCUGAUGAAGCCAUGCCGCGUGGAUGAAGAAGGCCUUCGGGUGGGAAAAUACUUUCAGCGAGGAGGCGUUACUCGCAGAAGAAGCACCGGCUAACUACGUGCCAGCAGCCGCAGUAAUUA
rnacentral:rRNA from 1 species